rnacentral:lncRNA from 1 species
UUCUGAACUUUGACAGCCCAUGUCUAAAAGGCAUCUUUUUUUUACCUACAGACCAUCUCUGUCAAAAUCCAGCUCUGCCACGUGCUAUUAAAAGACUGGUGGGAACUGACUUCUAUUUUCCAUAUUCAAAAGGAAUCUACUCAGUCAAUUGGAUUACAACCCAUGCUACUACCCAAAGCAAAAGACAUGAAGAGCAUCAUGUACUGACUUUGAGGUGUAGAGACCUGCUGCUUCUCCUGACCUCCUGUGGACUGGGGCUCGCUGCCUAAGCUGCUCCCCCACUUCAGGACUGAAUGGCCAGAGCUCAGCUCACCUUAUCAGAGAAGACAUUUGUGAAAUGUAAGUAAAGGUUUUCUAUGCUCUUCAUGAGACACUGGAACACUUGUUCUUUGAGAAAGG